rfam:TPA: Bos taurus chromosome 20, whole genome shotgun sequence.
UCCCUGGUGGCUUAGACAGUAAAGAAUCCUCCUGCAAUGUGGGAGACCUGGGUUUGAUCCCUGGCUUGGGAA